ensembl:snoRNA
CCCGCCACUACGCCGGUCCGGCCGGUGACCGGGCGGAGUCCAGUGGAGGCUCAGAGCGACCCGGCUUCAGGAAACGGGGCGGCUCCUCCCCGGUGGGCCGCCCCGUGCCGAAAAGCCCGGAACACAC